GUGCUCACUUUGGCAGGACAUAUACUAAAAUUGGAACGAUACAGAGAUUAGCAUGGCCCCUUCGCGAAGAUGAUACGCAAAUUCAUGAAGCAUUCCAUAUUUUU